CACGUAGGGGACGAGCGUUGUCCGGAUUCAUUGGGCGUAAAGCGCGCGUAGGCGGCUCGGAAAGUCGGGCGUGAAAUCUACGGAGCUUAACUCCGAAACUGCAUUCGAUACUGCCGUGCUUGAGGACUGGAGAGGAGACUGGAAUUUACGGUGUAGGCGGUGAAAUGCGUAGAUAUCGUAAGGAAGACCAGUGGCGAAGGCGGGUCUCUGGACAGUUCCUGACGCUGAGGCACGAAGGUCAGGGGAGCAAACGGG
rnacentral:rRNA from 1 species